UGAGGAAUAUUGGUCAAUGGGCGAGAGCCUGAACCAGCCAAGUAGCGUGCAGGAUGACGGCCCUAUGGGUUGUAAACUGCUUUUAUAAGGGAAUAAAGUUAGUCUCGUGAGACUUUUUGCAUGUACCUUAUGAAUAAGGACCGGCUAAUUCCGUGCCAGCAGCCGCGGUAAUACGGAAGGUCCGGGCGUUAUCCGGAUUUAUUGGGUUUAAAGGGAGCGUAGGCCGGAGAUUAAGCGUGUUGUGAAAUGUAGACGCUCAACGUCUGCACUGCAGCGCGAACUGGUUUCCUUGAGUACGCACAAAGUGGGCGGAAUUCGUGGUGUAGCGGUGAAAUGCUUAGAUAUCACGAAGAACUCCGAUUGCGAAGGCAGCUCACUGGAGCGCAACUGACGCUGAAGCUCGAAAGUGCGGGUAUCGAACAGGAUUAGAUACCCUGGUAGUCCGCACGGUAAACGAUGGAUGCCCGCUGUUGGUCUGAAUAGGUCAGCGGCCAAGCGAAAGCAUUAAGCAUCCCACCUGGGGAGUACGCCGGCAACGGUGAAACUCAAAGGAAUUGACGGGGGCCCGCACAAGCGGAGGAACAUGUGGUUUAAUUCGAUGAUACGCGAGGAACCUUACCCGGGCUUGAAUUGCAGAGGAAGGAUUUGGAGACAAUGACGCCCUUCGGGGCCUCUGUGAAGGUGCUGCAUGGUUGUCGUCAGCUCGUGCCGUGAGGUGUCGGCUUAAGUGCCAUAACGAGCGCAACCCCUCUCCUUAGUUGCCAUCAGGUCAUGCUGGGCACUCUGGGGACACUGCCACCGUAAGGUGUGAGGAAGGUGGGGAUGACGUCAAAUCAGCACGGCCCUUACGUCCGGGGCUACACACGUGUUACAAUGGCAGGUACAGAGAGACGGUCCCUUGCAAAAGGGAUCAAAUCCUCAAAGCCUGUCUCAGUUCGGACUGGGGUCUGCAACCCGACCCCACGAAGCUGGAUUCGCUAGUAAUCGCGCAUCAGCCAUGGCGCGGUGAAUACGUUCCC
rnacentral:rRNA from 1 species